GACGAACGCUGGCGGCGUGCUUAACACAUGCAAGUCGAGCGGAGCGGCGAACGGGUGAGUAACGCGUGAGUAACUGCCCCCCUCUCUGGGAUAACAGUUGGAAACGGCUGCUAAUACCGGAUAGUGGGAGAUGACUCGCGUUCUAUCAGCGUGUUGGUGGGGUAGUGGCCUACCAAGGCGACGACGGGUAGCCGGCCUGAGAGGGCGACCGGCCACAUUGGGCUGAGAUACGGCCCAAACUCGUACGGGAGGCAGCAGUGGAGAAUAUUGCACAAUGGGGGAAACCCUGAUGAAGCAACGCGGGGGCGGGAUGACGGGCUGCGGGUUGUAAACAGCUUUCAGCCAUGACGCGGUAGUGACAGAAGAAGCACCGGCUAACUACGUGCCAGCAGCCGCGGUAAUUC
rnacentral:rRNA from 1 species